rfam:Daphnia pulex DAPPTscaffold_1_Cont50, whole genome shotgun sequence.
GCCUGCCGGGCCUGAUCCUUUGCUCAACCUGUGAUCGUAAACCUUGUAUUACCCUCCUUUGCGGGAGGAGGUGAGCAAAGUUUCAGGUGCGUCAGUCG